UCGCUUUCUAGUUGGUACAUAAGCACAGAGUUAGAGUAAGCAAGGCUUGUCGGGUGGCAAGUGGUUUGAAGCACCUUGGUGGCAGUAAAUUCCUCAACCUUCCAGAUGUGUUGCUGUUUUAUGGUGUGGAAGGGACAGGCCCUGAAGAGAUGGCUCAAAUACGAAGAACCUCAUCAUCAGUGCUGGAAUUCAAGGCAUCAUCACCACCCAGCUAAGAAGUGGCAUUUUAAAAAUAGCUUUAGUGAUGAAACUAGGAAAAAUAAAAUCAACUGCUUGCCAGCAUUGCAGAAGUGGCAUAAGCAUUAGAAGAAUGUUUGCCUCCAAAGUGUCUGACUGAAAAAUGAAGAAAUGAUUAGACUCUAAGUUUGUGAAAAUUCAACCUCAUCUGCCCUUGGCCUGUGCUUAUUUAUGUCCACCUUCAUCUCAAGCCACUGAUGUCUGAUAGGUUGAUGAUAAGGAACAAAUGUAAGCCUAGAUUAUCUGGUCCCAAGGUAGCUAGUCGAGAAGUGUGGCAGAAACAAAACAGUUAUUCAGCCAUGUUAGGGGAUUUAAUUACACACAUUCCUACUCCGACUUUGUAUUUCUGAAUUCUUUAAGUACAAACCUUAUCCCAGGUGAACUACAUUCCUCCAGGGUGGAAGUUUGCUUUAUGAAGCUCUUCAACCGGCUGUUCAUUUGUCUACCGAAUGAUGUCCUUUGUGAUAAUCCAGCUGUAGGAGAGCACUUUUCUGGGUUGUCUAAGUUGUUCUAGAAUUCACAAACUGGAGAGACAGUGUGGGAACCAUCUAGAAGCUAGAAGUAGCACCAGUUACAAGUAACGGUGGUGACCUGGGACCCGAACAAUGGGGCCCUCACCGUGUGGGCCUGCCGCUGACUGCAUUAGCUGUAAGGACUGGAUCCGAGAAUACCCAGCUGCUGUUUGGACUGGAGUAGCACUGAAGAAGCACCGCUCAUCGGUCAUCAGAGAGAAAGCAGUUUGGGAUUAAGUUACACAACGGUAGCAAAGCUCAGAGCAGCAUCCAGGAAUGGUGAGGGGCGGAGGCUUUCCGAUGUCCAAAAGGCGUGAGUUACACAAUGGUAGCAUACUGACACACGAAGCAGGGAACAUUCAAGGGGUAGCCGAACCUUUUCCGAUUCCUUGGAGUCUGGAGUCCACUGUUAUGCC
rnacentral:lncRNA from 1 species